UACGAAGGGGGCUAGCGUUGCUCGGAAUUACUGGGCGUAAAGGGAGCGUAGGCGGACAUUUAAGUCAGAGGUGAAAUCCCGGAGCUUAACUUCGGAACUGCCUUUGAUACUGGGUGUCUUGAGUGUGAGAGAGGUAUGUGGAACUCCGAGUGUAGAGGUGAAAUUCGUAGAUAUCAGGAAGAACACCAGUGGCGAAGGGCGGCUUACUGG
rnacentral:rRNA from 1 species